AAGACGAGGCGGCCCUCAUUUAACCCUGAAAGCUAACGCCUCGUCUGGAGAGUUUCUCUCGAACAACUAAAGCCAACGUGAACGUUUUGCGGACCCCGUGUCCGCU
rnacentral:other from 2 species